GACGAACGCUGGCGGCGUGCCUAAUACAUGCAAGUCGAGCGGAGUGGAUAGAAAGCUUGCUUUCUUGAGGCUUAGCGGCGGACGGGUGAGUAACACGUAGGCAACCUGCCCUUUAGCCUGGGAUAACUACCGGAAACGGUAGCUAAUACCGGAUACUUUCAAUUCUCGCAUGGGAAACGAACGAAAGACGGAGCAAUCUGUCACUGAAGGAUGGGCCUGCGGCGCAUUAGCUAGUUGGUGGGGUAACGGCUCACCAAGGCGACGAUGCGUAGCCGACCUGAGAGGGUGAUCGGCCACACUGGGACUGAGACACGGCCCAGACUCCUACGGGAGGCAGCAGUAGGGAAUCUUCCGCAAUGGGCGAAAGCCUGACGGAGCAACGCCGCGUGAGUGAUGAAGGUUUUCGGAUCGUAAAGCUCUGUUGCCAGGGAAGAACGUCCGGUAGAGUAACUGCUACCGGAGUGACGGUACCUGAGAAGAAAGCCCCGGCUAACUACGUGCCAGCAGCCGCAGUAA
rnacentral:rRNA from 1 species